rnacentral:rRNA from 1 species
CAGUAGCCGCGGGAAUACGUAGGGUGCGAGCGUUAAUCGGAAUUACUGGGCGUAAAGCGUGCGCAGGCGGUUCGUUAAGACAGAUGUGAAAUCCCCGGGCUUAACCUGGGAACUGCAUUUGUGACUGACGGGCUAGAGUAUGGCAGAGGGGGGUAGAAUUCCACGUGUAGCAGUGAAAUGCGUAGAGAUGUGGAGGAAUACCGAUGGCGAAGGCAGCCCCCUGGGCCAAUACUGACGCUCAUGCACAAAAGCGUGGGGAGCAAACAGGAUUAGAUACCCCGGUAGUCCCUGUCUCUUAUAC